rnacentral:rRNA from 1 species
GACGUAGGGCACGAGCGUUGUCCGGAUUUAUUGGGCGUAAGGAGCUCGUAGGCGGCUUGUUGCGUCGUCCGUGAAAACCUGGGGCUCAACUCCAGGCUUGCGGUCGAUACGGGCAGGCUAGAGUUCGGUAGGGGAGACUGGAAUUCCUGGUGUAGCGGUGAAAUGCGCAGAUAUCAGGAAGAACACCCGUGGCUAAGGCGGCUCUCUAGUACGGUACUGACGCUGAGACGCGAAAGCGUGGGGAGCGAACAGG